UAGGCAUAUGAAUGUACAACAAGGGAUCUCUAACCUUCCAUGAUGGAGGGAGAAUACUCUAAGAUAUGAUUCUAAAGUCUUUGGCCAAAGCAAAUGAAUAUGACUAAAGGAAGGUUGUUCCAAAUCAUAUUCAAGGGAAUCAUAUAAGAAAGAAUCACAUUGGAUAGUAGACAUGAAACAAACUAUCACUUAAACAAUGUGAUUAAGAGUAUUGUAUUAG
rnacentral:lncRNA from 1 species